AGGCAGCAGGCACGCAAAUUACCCACUCCCGGCACGGGGAGGUAGUGACAAAAAAUAACGAUACGGGACUCUUUUGAGGCCCCGUAAUCGGAAUGAGUACACUUUAAAUCCUUUAACAAGGAUCCAUUGGAGGGCAAGUCUGGUGCCAGCAGCCGCGGUAAUUCCAGCUCCAAUAGCGUAUAUUAAAGUUGUUGCGGUUAAAAAGCUCGUAGUUGGUUCUGCGUGCUACGCUGCCGGUUCGCCGCCUGCCGGUGUAACUGGCAUGUCGUGGCAUGUCCUGUCGGUGGCGAAUGGGAGCUCUGUCUAGGUGACGGUCCGAGUCACAAGCUUGGUGCCGUAGGCCGGGGGUCAAACCCAUUCGCCUACUCUAUCCUACCUAGGUGCUCUUAAACGAGUGUCGAGGUAGGCCGACACGUUUACUUUGAACAAAUUAGAGUGCUCAAAGCAGGCUGAAAUCUCUGCCUGAAUAGUGGUGCAUGGAAUAAUAAAACAGGACCUUGGUUCUAUUUUGUUGGUUCUUAGGAACACAAGGUAAUGAUCAAUACGGACAGGCGGGGGCAUUCGUAUUGCGACGUUAGAGGUGAAAUUCUUGGAUCGUCGCAAGACGCACAAGAGCGAAAGCAUUUGCCAAGUAUGUCUUGAUUGAUCAAGAACGAAAGUUAGAGGUUCGAAGGCGAUCAGAUACCGCCCUAGUUCUAACCAUAAACGAUGCCAGCCAGCGAUCCGCCGAUGUUCCUCCGAUGACUCGGCGGGGAGCUUCUUCCCGGGAAACCAAAGCUUUUGGGUUCCGGGGGAAGUAUGGUUGCAAAGCUGAAACUUAAAGGAAUUGACGGAAGGGCACCACCAGGAGUGGAGCCUGCGGCUUAAUUUGACUCAACACGGGAAACCUCACCAGGCCAGGACAUUGGAAGGAUUGACAGAUUGAUAGCUCUUUCUUGAUUCAGUGGGUAGUGGUGCAUGGCCGUUCUUAGUUGGUG
rnacentral:rRNA from 1 species